rnacentral:rRNA from 1 species
UACGUAGGUGGCAAGCGUUGUCCGGAUUGAUUGGGUUUAAAGGGUGCGUAGGCGGCUUUGUAAGUCAGUGGUGAAAUACGGUAGCUUAACUAUCGAGGUGCCAUUGAUACUGCAGAGCUUGAGUACAGAUGAGGUAGGCGGAAUUGACGGUGUAGCGGUGAAAUGCUUAGAUAUCGUCAAGAACACCUAUAGCUAAGGCAGCUUACUAGGCUGUAACUGACGCUGAGGCACGAAAGUGUGGGGAUCAAACAGG